GCUGAGUAUUAUGAUAAAGAAAUGUAAUCCUCCAUUUGGCUUAACAUUAUUUCAUAAAUUCUUAGUCACCAAAUACACAAUUUUUCAAAAGAGAAAAACAUACAACAGCAUCGAUUAUUAGUUUGUGUAUCAAGGAAUGUGACAUUGGCAAAGAACAAUCGCCUAAAAAUCCAGGGGUCAAGAAUGGAAAAACUUCUUGGCGUUUACGUACGAAAGGACAAGAACGAGUAAAACAUCAAUUAUUUAUUUCAGGGGAAAAAAAUACUUGAAAAAUUUGUUUCGUAUGAUUUCAUAUCAAGUUUCGUACGAAGAAGGAUUAUUGCUGGAUAUUAUGAUAAAGAAAUGUAAUCCUCCAUUUGGCUUAACUUUAUUUCAUAAAUUCGUAGUCACCAAAUACACAAUUUUUCAACCUUGCAGCGUAUUUCUCUCGAUUCAUUUUUUCUUCCUGCAACUGAGACUAUUGGAGACAGAAGAUUUAAGGU